UGCUGCCUAACCACUCGAUGUUUAAUCAUUUGUUAUUUCAUUUUACAGUAAUGGAUCCUGACAUUUAAAUUGCUCCUUAUCAUUUCCACUUGCUAUAUGUAUCUUGCCUUCAUACAAAAGAGUACGGCUGACACUAAAGAUGGAUUUUUGCCCUGUAACAGAGCCCUGCUUAAUACUUUUGUUAAUGUGCAAAGUGGAGUGGACUGCAGUUCAUUCUGCUGUACUUAAUUUGGCUCUGCAAGAUGUCUGAUUGUUGUCAGUAAAAUAAGCAGCCUCUGAGUUUGCAUAGGAAGCCGUCUGUCCAAAGGGGCUGUUUUUAUACAGUCACCCUUCAAUCUAGGACAGUAAUUUCAAAAAUAUCUAAGUACCAUUUUUCAGGAUCAGACUGAUUAAAAGUUUUUCAGAAAUAUCUUCACGGGGCAGUGAAACCGCUCAUACUGUAUAAAAACUCUCUUGAAAAGUAUAAGCAGACCCUCUUUUCUUUACUUAGGCCUCCAGCUUUUCAGCAAAGAAGCCAGGAAGGAUUGCUGCAACUGUUACAGCAAGGAUGAAUGAAACAAUUCUUCAAUCUUGUGGUUUUAUCAGCUUCGCAGAUGUGAUACUAGUGGAAAUGAGACAUGCACUUGCUACAGCAAAGCGCAGCAUCCCACCUCUGUCUGCAGACAACUUGCUUCUGUGUCAUGUUGUAGGUGAGUCAGCUUGCAUAAUUGUGUUUACAUACAUGGUUUUCAGAAGCACAAAUGGCCCCAAGAUAUCUAAAUGCUAUGGAGAGUAACAGAUUCUCUCAAGAUCACACUAGCUGUCCAUGGCUUUAGGUACAGGAAUAGCUCCAUGACUCCUUUAGAAGCACGAGCCACAGCUGAGGGAAAUGUCAGGAGCAAACUACAGCCGUAGCCUCAGCUUGUUCCACUUGUUUAAACUUUUGUGCCCUUAAAAGCUGUACCUACCCAUGGCCUGUGUUGUGGCUCAGCGGUAUGAAUCCCUCCACUUUCUCCCCCACUUUCUGUGGUGUUUAAAAGAUGAUGAACUUUCUGCGGCGCAGGCUCUCGGACAGCAGCUUCAUCGCCAACCUGCCCAAUGGCUACAUGACCGACCUGCAGCGGCCCGAGCCGCAGCAGCCGCCGCCGCCGCCUCCCUCGGCCUCCUCGGCCCCUGCCUCGGGCUCCCCGGCCGCGGAGCGCCGGCAGCCGCCGCAGUCGGCGCCCCCCCAGCAGCAGCAGCCGCCGCCGCAGCAGUCGGCGGGCAGCAGCUUCUUCAGCUCGCUCUCCAACGCCGUGAAGCAGACGGCGGCCUCGGCCGGUCUGGUGGAUCCGUCCUCCGCCGGCUCCUCGGCCGCCGGCAGAAAGUUCAAGCUGCUGCUGGUCAUCGACGAGCCGCACACGGACUGGUAGGUGCCCCCUCCCCGCCCGGCCUCGCGCUGCGGCCCCUGCCCCUCAGAGCCCGGCAUCGCCCCUUCCCCAUCCGCGGGGGCUGCGGGACCCCCGGGGGGCGGCAGGUGCGGUGCGGAACCCGCAGCAGCCCGAGGCGCCCGAGCAUGAAGGCGAACCGCUCCUUCUCCGACAGCACCCUCGAUAAAACGUGUUUACCGCGCUGCAAAAGCACGUCCUGCGCUGCCUAGCGAGAUAAACAGCUCGUGUAAGCAGCGGAGGGGGAGUCGGGGUCUCUCAGGCAGGGGUUUCCGUCAGGAACUGCGUGCGGUGCUGGCGUUGCGUGUGGUAGUUCAUGCUGAUGAGCGGGCUUGUUUUCGUGCACAGCGCACUGCUUCUGUUGCAGCUCCUAAAAUGCGUGUCGGGGUGAAGGUCCUUCAGGGGACUGACAACGAGCCCUCAACCUUGCCUCAGCCUGUGAAUGUACGCGGCUGGGUUAAUUAACUCCGCGGGUUUAGUUUGGGGUGCGUGUUUUGCUUCCACUGUAAUCACACGAUACAUGUCAUUUACAAACCAGAACUUGUAUGUCAAUUCAUCUCUUCCCGUGCCUGAGUGCUACCAGAAAGAGAGGCUACAGCUUUUUCAGACCCGUUUGUCACGUAUGACAUCCCUGAAUGUUGUGGUUAUAGGAAGGGUGCGCGUUUAGUAAUCAUUCACUAUCUUAUUUCCCGAUAAUCUGUGUUUACACAUCAAGCUGUGAAUCAUCUUGUUCGGUGUUGCCAAUUACAGUAUAUAGUGUCUUAAAGGUGCCUAAAAAUAAUACUGAGUAAAACAAGUAUGUUGUUACAGCACUGACAUCAUCAGUAAUGGAUUGUGGGUCUCUGAUUUUAUUGUCAGCUUCUCAAAUUUGUAACCUUACUGUCUAGGCGGACUUAAACAUCUCUGAUCUGAUACAAUUUGCUUUAAAAUGCCACUUCAAUAAAAUACUUGAAACAGAAAUUAAAGCCUAAUAA
rnacentral:lncRNA from 1 species